CCCAGACUCCUACGGGAGGCAGCAGUGGGGGAUAUUGCACAAUGGGGGAAACCCUGAUGCAGCGACGCCGCGUGAGUGAAGAAGUAUUUCGGUAUGUAAAGCUCUAUCAGCAGGGAAGAAAAAAGACGGUACCUGACUAAGAAGCCCCGGCUAACUACGUGCCAGCAGCCGCGGUAAUACGUAGGGGGCAAGCGUUAUCCGGAUUUACUGGGUGUAAAGGGAGCGUAGACGGCAAUACAAGUCGGAAGUGAAAUACCCGGGCUUAACCUGGGAACUGCUUUGGAAACUGUAUGGCUGGAGUGCUGGAGAGGUAAGCGGAAUUCCUAGUGUAGCGGUGAAAUGCGUAGAUAUUAGGAGGAACACCAGUGGCGAAGGCGGCUUACUGGACAGUAACUGACGUUGAGGCUCGAAAGCGUGGGGAGCAAACAGGAUUAGAUACCCCGGUA
rnacentral:rRNA from 1 species